UAUUAAUAUAUUGUCACAUGCAUCGCGUGUAUAUAAUGAUAUUUUUGCUUAUAUGAACCUAUCUAAACUGAUUCAAACUUAAUUUUGCUGAAGAUAACUUCUAAUAAUGAGUUUAACAAAAUAUAAAUUUUAUUGAAAAACUGUCAACUUAAACUACUAUAAUGAGUUGUCACUACAUGCAUUGCGUUCACGUAAAACUACCUACUCGACAUUACAAAAUAUCACAACUAAAAAAUUAUCAUCGCACAUGCGUGCUUAAAAAGCUAGUGGACUCAAAAACCAAGUAAAACAUGCCCAUGUCUGAAAAAAAAAAAAAAAAAAAGUCUGGUCACUGUAGACUGUACUGUAUAUAGUUGCAAUGCUUUCCCGGUAUUUUUGUCUCUCCAUUGACUAUGGGUUGACUGACCAUCUCCAUUGAUCGCGCUUUUCCAGACACAGGUUGGUGGGCAACAGCCUUGAGCAGAGCUCCCUCAUCAUUCUCAGGAGUAACAGCACCCUUCUUCCUCCAAUCAACAGAUGGCGGGACAUUAUCGGCAUCUGCAUACAUGAAGCCACCGUUACCGCUCGUCAUCUUGCCAUGGAGCAUCCUGUGGUGACUGAUCUUUGAACCAGCAAAAUGGUUGAGGAACUCGUGACUUGUCAUGUCAGCAAACUUGUUCAACUUAAGCUUGUAAGGCUUGUCCAUCUUAUUAACUUUAUGAACAUGCUUCACAUUUUCCUUGAACACAUUGAAUCUCUUUUGCUUGUCAUCAAGGCUCCUCGACACAGUGUGGUGACUACGCCACCUCUCAUAUAGUUCCCACAAACGAUCCUCAGAUUCUAGUUCCUUCUCAUGGAAAUCGAACCCCUCCGAGAGGCCGAUGAACAUUGCUAAAGCUAAGGAUACAAGCAAUAUGCACUUGAUCUUGUAAUCCAUGUUGUUUUUUUAUGUUUGUUUUCGUUGGGUUUUUUUUUUUGCAGACUUGUGAUAUAGAGAAGUGUAUGGUUGAUGGAUCAAUUAGGAGGAGAAAAGAGGUAUUUAUAGAUGAGUGCUAAAGAAACAUGACAAACUAAAGGUGGGCAAUUAUUGGUCUAGAAUUUUAGAUGAAGGUGCCUUAUAGGUUAGAACAACUUAACAAGAGCACUGAAUCGUUUGAAGGGAGUCUACAUGGGGGUUAUUUCUUAUCAGUUUGGACAAGAUGGAAAAGUUGAGUUCACAUCCUUUCGAGUUACUUCUUUUACUAGUUAAUUAGGCCCGGGCUACGCCCAGGUAAUUAUAUCUUUCAUUUAUCAAUAUUUUAUUUUGAAAUAUUAACAUCAAGUAUCACUUGGUUUAGUGGUUUAAGACAUUAGUAUAUGUGCUUGUGAUCUCGGGAUUGAAUCUUACAUAAUGUAUUUUCUGUUUUUUUA